UUGUGGAUUCGUGACGCAUAAACAAUUGAAGCUGCUCGAAAAACCAUUCCAAGAAAAGCUGCUUCAAUAGCUCCACAGAUAAAGUAUUAUUAUAUAAAGCACUGUUGUAUACAUGGUGGAAAAAAGUUUACAAAUAAAGGCAAUGGAAAACGUCAAACUUCGACUUAUAAAAAAGAGUGUCCAUUCUUCUUAAGUUUUAAAGCAUCAGAAGAUGGACAAACAUUAAUCUUGCAAGAUUUAAACAAUGAACAUAAUCAUGAAGUAUCUGAGAAAAAGCCUGAAUACAACUCAUGGAGAGGCUGAUAGAACCACAGUUCCUAAUGCAAUAAUACGAAAUCUCAAAGAGCAACUUGCAACAGUUUUUGCCAAUUACUCGUGGGCGUGCGUCAGACGAAGUCUUAAUCAGAGCGACCUAGAUAGGAAGAAAAAACGAAAGUAAUCAGCAAUGCAAUUAUGAC